rnacentral:rRNA from 1 species
UCGAACGCAGUAGCAAUACUGAGUGGCAAACGGGUGAGUAUAAUGUGGGUAUCUGCCUUUUGGUUUGGAAUAACAUGAGGAAACUUAUGCUAAUACCGAAUAAGCCUUCACAGGGAAAGUUUUAUAUGCCGAAAGAUGAGCCCGCACUUGAUUAGUUUGUUGGUGAGGUAAUGGCUCACCAAGACAAUUAUCAAUAGCUGGUCUGAGAGGACGAUCAGCCACAUUGGGACUGAGACACGGCCCAGACUCCUACGGGAGGCAGCAGUAAGGAAUCUUGCACAAUGGGGGAAACCCUGAUGCAGCGAUGCCGCGUGAGUGAAGAAGGCCUUUGGGUUGUAAAACUCUUUCGUCGGGGAAGAAAAUGACUGUACCCGAAUAAGAAGGUCCGGCUAACUUCGUGCCAGCAGCCGCGGUAAUACGAAGGGACCUAGCGUAGUUCGGAAUUACUGGGCUUAAAGAGCUCGUAGGUGGUUGAAAAAGUUGAUGGUGAAAUCCCAAGGCUUAACCUUGGAACUGCCAUCAAAACUCUUUAGCUAGAGUGUGAUAGAGGAAAGUGGAAUUUCUAGUGUAGAGGUGAAAUUCGUAGAUAUUAGAAAGAACACCAAAUGCGAAGGCAACUUUCUGGGUCACUACUGACACUGAGGAGCGAAAGCAUGGGUAGCGAAGAGGAUUAAAUACCCUCGUAGUCCAUGCCGUAAACGAUGUGUGCUAGACGUUGGAAAUAUAUUUUUCAGUGUCGCAGCGAAAGCAUUAAGCACACCGCCUGGGGAGUACGACCGCAAGGUUAAAACUCAAAUGAAUUGACGGGGACC